rnacentral:rRNA from 1 species
GACGAAACGCCUGGCGGCGUGCCUAAUACAUGCAAGUAGAAACGCUGAAGAGAGGAGCUCGCCCUUUCUCGGAUCGAGUUGCGAAACGGGUGAGUAACGCGUAGGUAACCCGCCUUGUAGCGGGGGAUAACUAUCGGAAACGAUAGCUAAUACCGCAUAACAAUCGGACGACCCACGUCAUCUAUCUGAAAGGGGCAAUCGCUCCACUACAAGAUCGGACCUGCGUUGUAUUAGCUAGUAGGUCGAGGUAACGGCUCACCUAGGCGACGAUACAUAGCCGACCUGAGAGGGUGAUCGGCCACACUGGGACUGAGACACGGCCCAGACUCCUACGGGAGGCAGCAGUAGGGAAUCUUCGGCAAUGGGGGCAACCCUGACCGAGCAACGCCGCGUGAGUGAAGAAAGUUUUCGGAAUCGUAAAGCUCUGUUUGUAAGUCAAGAACGAGUGUGAGAGUGGAAAGUUCACACUGUGACGGUAGCUUACCAGAAAGGGACGGCUAACUACGUGCCAGGCAGCCGCGGUAAUACGUAGGUCCCCGAGCGUUGUCCGGAUUUAUUGGGCGUAAAGCGAGCGCAGGCGGUUUGAUAAGUUCUGAAUUAAAGGCUGUGGCUCAACCAUAGUUCGCUUUGGAAACUGUCAAACUUGAGUGCAGAAGGGGAGAGUGGAAUUCCAUGUGUAGCGGUGAAAUGCGUAGAUAUAUGGAGGAACACCGGUGGCGAAAGCGGCUCUCUGGUCUGUAACUGACGCUGAGGCUCGAAAGCGUGGGGAGCGAACAGGAUUAGAUACCCUGGUAGUCCACGCCGUAAACGAUGAGUGCUAGGUGUUGGAUCCUUUCCGGGAUUCAGUGCCGCAGCUAACGCAUUAAGCACUCCGCCUGGGGAGUACGACCGCAAGGUUGAAACUCAAAGGAAUUGACGGGGGCCCGCACAAGCGGUGGAGCAUGUGGUUUAAUUCGAAGCAACGCGAAGAACCUUACCAGGUCUUGACAUCCCGAUGCUAUUUCUAGAGAUAGAAAGUUGCUUCGGUACAUCGGUGACAGGUGGUGCAUGGUUGUCGUCAGCUCGUGUCGUGAGAUGUUGGGUUAAGUCCCGCAACGAGCGCAACCCCUAUUGUUAGUUGCCAUCAUUCAGUUGGGCACUCUAGCGAGACUGCCGGUAAUAAACCGGAGGAAGGUGGGGAUGACGUCAAAUCAUCAUGCCCCUUAUGACCUGGGCUACACACGUGCUACAAUGGUUGGUACAACGAGUUGCGAGUCGGUGACGGCAAGCUAAUCUCUUAAAGCCAAUCUCAGUUCGGAUUGUAGGCUGCAACUCGCCUACAUGAAGUCGGAAUCGCUAGUAAUCGCGGAUCAGCACGCCGCGGUGAAUACGUUCCCGGGCCU